rnacentral:misc_RNA from 1 species
GAUGAAGAACGUAGUGAAAUGCGAUAAGUAGUGUGAAUUGCAGAAUUCAGUGAAUCAUCGAAUCUUUGAACGCACAUUGCGCCCCUUGGUAUUCCAUGGGGCAUGCCUGUUCGAGCGUCAUCUACACCCUCAAGCUCUGCUUGGUGUUGGGUGACUGUCCGCUUCACGGCGGACUCGCCUCAAAAUUAUUGGCGGCCGGUACAUUGGCUUCGAGCGCAGCAGAAACGCGAACUCGGGCCCGUCGUAUUGGCUCCCAGAAGCUAUCUUCACAAUUUUGACCUCGGAUCAGGUAGGGAUACCCGCUGAACUUAAGCAUAUCAAUAAGCGGAGGA